GAUGAACGCUAGCUACAGGCUUAACACAUGCAAGUCGAGGGGCAGCAUGGUCUUAGCUUGCUAAGGCCGAUGGCGACCGGCGCACGGGUGAGUAACACGUAUCCAACCUGCCGUCUACUCUUGGACAGCCUUCUGAAAGGAAGAUUAAUACAAGAUGGCAUCAUGAGUCCGCAUGUUCACAUGAUUAAAGGUAUUCCGGUAGACGAUGGGGAUGCGUUCCAUUAGAUAGUAGGCGGGGUAACGGCCCACCUAGUCUUCGAUGGAUAGGGGUUCUGAGAGGAAGGUCCCCCACAUUGGAACUGAGACACGGUCCAAACUCCUACGGGAGGCAGCAGUGAGGAAUAUUGGUCAAUGGGCGAGAGCCUGAACCAGCCAAGUAGCGUGAAGGAUGACUGCCCUAUGGGUUGUAAACUUCUUUUAUAAAGGAAUAAAGUCGGGUAUGCAUACCCGUUUGCAUGUACUUUAUGAAUAAGGAUCGGCUAACUCCGUGCCAGCAGCCGCGGUAAUACGGAGGAUUCGAGCGUUAUCCGGAUUUAUUGGGUUUAAAGGGAGCGUAGAUGGAUGUUUAAGUCAGUUGUGAAAGUUUGCGGCUCAACCGUAAAAUUGCAGUUGAUACUGGAUAUCUUGAGUGCAGUUGAGGCAGGCGGAAUUCGUGGUGUAGCGGUGAAAUGCUUAGAUAUCACGAAGAACUCCGAUUGCGAAGGCAGCCUGCUAAGCUGCAACUGACAUUGAGGCUCGAAAGUGUGGGUAUCANACAGG
rnacentral:rRNA from 1 species